UACGUAGGUGGCGAGCGUUGUCCGGAUUUACUGGGCGUAAAGGGAGCGUAGGCGGAUUUUUAAGUGAGAUGUGAAAUACUCGGGCUCAACUUGAGUGCUGCAUUUCAAACUGGAAGUCUAGAGUGCAGGAGAGGAGAAUGGAAUUCCUAGUGUAGCGGUGAAAUGCGUAGAGAUUAGGAAGAGCACCAGUGGCGAAGGCGAUUCUCUGGACUGUAACUGACGCUGAGGCUCGAAAGCGUGGGGAGCAAACAGG
rnacentral:rRNA from 1 species